AUUGAACGCUGGCGGCAGGCCUAACACAUGCAAGUCGAACGAGUGGCGGACGGGUGAGUAAUGUCUGGGAAACUGCCUGAUGGAGGGGGAUAACUACUGGAAACGGUAGCUAAUACCGCAUACCAUCAGAUGUGCCCAGAUGGGAUUAGCUAGGUGGUGGGGUAACGGCUAACCAAGGCGACGAUCCCUAGCGGGUCUGAGAGGAUGACGAUCCACACUGGACCUGAUACACGGUCCAGACCCCUACGGAAGGCAUCAGUGGGGAAUAUUGCACAAUGGUAGCAAUCCUGAUGCAGCCAUGCCGCGUGUAUGAAGAAGUCCUUCGUGUUGUAAAGUACUUUCAGCGGGGAGGCGUUACCCGCAGAAGAAGCACCGGCUAACUCCGUGCCAGCAGCCGCGGUAAUUC
rnacentral:rRNA from 1 species